GCUUUCCCAUUGUCCCGGGCACGCAGGGAUUGGCUGGCCACUGUGGGAAACUCCGAGUCGCUCCGGACCCAGAGUUUUGUAUGCGGCUCCUGCGUAUAAAUAGGGCAGAUCCCGGCUCCCUUCUCCACUCCGAGCUGGAAGCAGCCCUUGGGAUAACGGGGCUCUCUCCCUGGACAUUCCCUCCGAGGGCAGCGCAGGCCCCGGGAACCCCCGAUCGGAUUUACAGCAGCUGGAAGUGCUCCUGGAGAAGGGAUUUCAGAGGCGCCAGCUGCGGAAAGACGAAAUCCUGAGGGGAUGGCUGCGAGCGAGCCGGGAUACGGGCGAGCUUGUGCAGCCCCUGCCAAGGACGAUCCCGGCGGGCAGUGCCCCGGGGCGGGUCUGCAAUUCCCGUCCCUCCGUUCCACCGGCGCAGGAGGCGGGGGAAGCGGAGCUGCCACUCCCGGAGGUCACAGGUGGCACCUGGGGACUCUGGUUCUUCCUCCGCACGCACCUCCAGCCAGCAGCCUCCUGCAAAAACAGCACUGAAGCGAUUCCAAAGCCUCCGGAGGCGCUGGAAUUCCGUGAUUUUUGGACGUUUCGAGUAUUCCAGAGGAGAUCAUGACUUGCUGUCCAAGUCGCCCGCACUCCUCUCAUGAGUAGGGAAGAAUGUUUCCCCUUUGCAGGUCGUUGCUCUGCUCCCCUUCUCUAAGAAGGACUGCAACGAUCCCACCGCGUGGAGAGAAAGUUGUUCUGAGGGAAUGUGAGCUGUAUCCUCCUGCCGGGGGGGCUGGAGGGGCCGUUCGGAGCCGAACCACGGCUGUUCUUAACCUCUGCGAGGUGUCCGUGUACCUGUGCUGGGAAAGCUGUAACCCUGGGACCGCCAGAAUUCCCAAAAAUGUCCCUGCGGGAGGAGCCUUUGACUCCUCGGGGUCCCUCACCUGGAGUGCCCCAGGGUCUCAUUGGACACAUUUGGGAAUCUGGCCUUCCCACGGUGCCAUGAUAUAUUAUAUAUCACUAUAACAUUUAUAGUCUGUGCUGAGAGCGCUCUGAGAAUGGUUAAACCAUAUCCCAAACUAUGUAGAGGAAAUUCCUCGGGAUGUCUUGCUCACGAGCCGGGGCUGUUUGUGAGGUUCAGGAUGCGUGUGUGUCUUUUGUAAAGGCAGGAGCUCGUUUUUAUGUCCUUAUAGGACUGAAAGUUACGGCUGUGCUGUUGAUUAUAGAAGAAAUAUUUAUCAAAGUCUUUCAUGAAAGGCAGGUGUAUAAAUUGUAUUUAGUUUUUGGUACCCUUUUGCCGGGGGAAAAUGGGAAUUUGUUACUGUCCUUGGAGGAUGUUAUGAUGUGUUCUGUGCAAGCUGCACCAAUGUAUGACCUGUGCCAGAGUUAUCUUGAACGUCAGAAGUUGCAGAAACUUUUAAUGGUCAUAAAUAAAUAAAAAUCUGGUUAAUCAAACUA